rnacentral:lncRNA from 1 species
GGCAACAGUUUCCAUGCAGACCUGGCACCUUCAGCUGUAGGUGGGAGGUGGGGCAGGUAGAGAGAGUGAAGACGGGGAGGGGCUGAAGAGUUUCUUUAAAGCCCGAAAAUGCAGGUGUGUGAGCCUGGACUAGGCGGUCCAGGAGGAGAAGCCCCAGGCACAGCCUUGGUGUUCAGAAGACAUUUUCAUUGAAUUUAAAGCUCCUGGACCAGUUCCUGGAAUCCAAGGAGGGUGGACAGGAGGGAAGAAAAGACGUCCAUUCUCCAAACUGAUGAAAAAGGCUCCUGAGAAGAUUUCUGGGAAAAGCCCCUGGGCCUCAGUUUUCUGGAUCAGAGGAUCUUUCAGGAGCCUCAGCAAAGCAAAACACCAAAAUCAACUGCUCAAAGGGUCAGCAAGCCAGCUAUGUGAGUGAAGCAGGACUGGUGUGUGGCAAUAGGGAAUGGUGGGCACUGUGGUAAAAUGAACACUGCAAGCUCGGUGUGUCAGCUUCAGGGAGUGUGUGCAGACAGGGCAGCCAGAUAAUCCCAUCUUUAAUACAACCAAAUGUGUG